CUGCUCAGGACGAACGCUGGCGGCGUGCCUAAUACAUGCAAGUCGUACGCUUCUUUUUCCACCGGAGCUUGCUCCACCGGAAAAAGAGGAGUGGCGAACGGGUGAGUAACACGUGGGUAACCUGCCCAUCAGAAGGGGAUAACACUUGGAAACAGGUGCUAAUACCGUAUAACAAUCGAAACCGCAUGGUUUUGAUUUGAAAGGCGCUUUCGGGUGUCGCUGAUGGAUGGACCCGCGGUGCAUUAGCUAGUUGGUGAGGUAACGGCUCACCAAGGCCACGAUGCAUAGCCGACCUGAGAGGGUGAUCGGCCACAUUGGGACUGAGACACGGCCCAAACUCCUACGGGAGGCAGCAGUAGGGAAUCUUCGGCAAUGGACGAAAGUCUGACCGAGCAACGCCGCGUGAGUGAAGAAGGUUUUCGGAUCGUAAAACUCUGUUGUUAGAGAAGAAUAAGGAUGAGAGUAACUGUUCAUCCCUUGACGGUAUCUAACCAGAAAGCCACGGCUAAC
rnacentral:rRNA from 1 species